rnacentral:rRNA from 1 species
UACGUAGGGUGCGAGCGUGUCCGGAAUUAUUGGGCGUAAAGAGCUCGUAGGCGGUUUUGUCGCGUCUGCUGUGAAAACCCGAGGCUCAACCUCGGGCCUGCAGUGGGUACGGGCAGACUAGAGUGCGGUAGGGGCGAUUGGAAUUCCUGGUGUAGCGGUGGAAUGCGCAGAUAUCAGGAGGAACACCAAUGGCGAAGGCAGAUCUCUGGGCCGUAACUGACGCUGAGGAGCGAAAGCAUGGGGAGCGAACAGG